CAUGUCCUACGGGAGGCAGCAGUGGGGGAUAUUGCACAAUGGGGGAAACCCUGAUGCAGCGACGCCGCGUGGGUGAAGAAGCGCCUCGUCGCGUACAGCCCUGUCAGCAGGGCAGAAAAUGACGGUACCUGAAGAAGAAGCCCCGGCUAACUACGUGCCAGCAGCCGCGGUAAUACGCAGGGGGCAAGCGUUAUCCGGAUUUACUGGGUGUAAAGGGGGCGCAGACGGCGAUGCAAGCCAGGAGUGAAA
rnacentral:rRNA from 1 species